AGGCUGCGAGGUUGGAAAACCAAAGUGGAUAGAUAGAUACAUACUCCGCUAACUAGUUAUCAGAGCUCCUGGAUGAUGUCAUACAAUGUGAAAUAGUCAAAUAGCUAGUCAUGUGCAUGGAUUGUCAGUCCCUUGGUAGCCCGAGAGAUGCGCUGAGAGACGCCACAAACCAUUGGUUUCUCCAAUUAGGGUUGGCCUUCGGUUGUUCAAAGAGAUCAUUCAUUGCCUAGGGAGAAUUACAGGAGAACAUCAGAGAGUGGUGCAUCUGUAUAUCUCAUUGCUAGGUGCUAUUUACAUGAAGCAUAUACGAGCUAGCUUAGCUACAUUUAUAGAAACAUUUUGUUCUGUGCAAAAUGUCAUUCUCAAAUAUGAUGGAAGUUAGACGGAACGAGAAAGCCAAAAAUAAACAUAAAAAAUAAAAAUAAAAAUAAAAAUUGAAUAAAAAGUUGUUGGACAACGCUGGAUUAAAACAUCCGGAAUAAAGGAGAGAAAAACGAAGGGGGAAAACCACCCAACUUAUUUGGCAUACUUCUGAUGGAACGCCUUCACCUUCUCGAUUUCGUCGUAGCUGCCCAAGAAGACGCCACUGCGGUCAUGGAUAUGCUCUGGGGAGAGAGAAAGCAAUCUUUCCAUCUUCGAAUUAAGCGCCUGGCCUCCCGCGUUCUCAAACACCAAGGCCAUAGGCGCACAUUCGUACAGGAUACGCAGUUUGCCCUUGGGACUCUUCUUGUCGGCGGGGUAUGCAAAGACACCUCCGUACAGCAGUGUCCGGUACGCAUCAGCAACCAUGCUGCCGAUGUAUCGGGAACUGUACGGUUUGCCGUCAGCCGGGUAUUUCAGGUCCUUGAAGUACUCGAGCACCCAGUCAUCCCAGUACAAGGAGUUUCCUUCAUUGACACUGUAGAUCG
rnacentral:sRNA from 2 species